UGGGGAAUUUUGGACAAUGGGCGAAAGCCUGAUCCAGCAAUGCCGCGUGUGUGAAGAAGGCCUUCGGGUUGUAAAGCACUUUUGUCCGGAAAGAAAUCCUUGGCUCUAAUACAGUCGGGGGAUGACGGUACCGGAAGAAUAAGCACCGGCUAACUACGUGCCAGCAGCCGCGGUAAUACGUAGGGUGCAAGCGUUAAUCGGAAUUACUGGGCGUAAAGCGUGCGCAGGCGGUUUGCUAAGACCGAUGUGAAAUCCCCGGGCUCAACCUGGGAACUGCAUUGGUGACUGGCAGGCUAGAGUAUGGCAGAGGGGGGUAGAAUUCCACGUGUAGCAGUGAAAUGCGUAGAGAUGUGGAGGAAUACCGAUGGCGAAGGCAGCCCCCUGGGCCAAUACUGACGCUCAUGCACGAAAGCGUGGGGAGCAAACAGGAUUAGAUACCCCUGGUAGUCCACGCCCUAAAACGAUGUCAACUAAUUGUUGGGGAUUCAUUUCCUUAGUAACGUAGCUAACGCGUGAAGUUGACCGCCUGGGGAGUACGGUCGCAAGAUUAAAACUUAAAUGAAUUGACGGGGUCAUAGCUGUUUCCU
rnacentral:rRNA from 1 species